rnacentral:rRNA from 1 species
CAUCCUCCAAGGCUAAAUACUCCUGACUGACCGAUAGUGAACCAGUACCGUGAGGGAAAGGCGAAAAGAACCCCGGCGAGGGGAGUGAAAAAGAACCUGAAACCGUGUACGUACAAGCAGUGGGAGCACAGGUUUACCUGUGUGACUGCGUACCUUUUGUAUAAUGGGUCAGCGACUUAUAUUCUGUAGCAAGGUUAACCGUAUAGGGGAGCCGCAGGGAAACCGAGUCUUAA